GCUCCUGGAGGCCAGGGACUCCAUCUCCCAGGCCUCAGUGCCCAUUAGAUGUUCAACAAAUGUAUGGAUUAAAGAUCUCUUACCCCUCUUGAAAAUUUGUUUUCCAGCCUGGCCAGGCACUGAAUAUGUCCUGAGAGCUAAUGUGGUAUCGACUGAUUAAAGCUGAGAAGAGCAAUGAUGAGGAGGAGGCAUAAGCAGAGAGGAGGUUGGAAGGAAGAACAGUGGCCUGGAAGGAAGAGAGAAGCAUGCGUCCCAGCAGUCAGGACUGGAAUUCAAGCCACUACAAUAGAAGCAGAGCAAAGGAGCCCUUUAGACCUCCCAUCUCAGAGGACCUGGUUGAUUUCUCAAAUCUCUUCACUUCCAUGGGUUAUAAAAAUGACGAGGAAAUGGAGGCUGAGCAACUUGCACAAGGUCACACAGCAAGUAAAUCAUAGCACAGAAAGCAUGAGACCAGUGAUACAAGAAAAACUUUAGACAAGGUAAGUUUAAGAGUUUAUGUGAGUGAAGAAUGAUUCAUGAAUCAGGCAACCCACAGAAGCAGAAGAGGAGAUCUCUG
rnacentral:lncRNA from 10 species